rnacentral:rRNA from 1 species
UACGUAGGAGGCAAGCGUUGUCCGGAUUUACUGGGCGUAAAGGGCGUGUAGGCGGUUUGUUAAGUCUGGCGUGAAAGCUCUCGGCUAAACCGGGAGAGGUCGUUGGAUACUGGCAGACUAGAGGACGGUAGAGGCGUGUGGAAUUCCGGGUGUAGUGGUGAAAUGCGUAGAGAUCCGGAGGAACACCAGUGGCGAAGGCGACACGCUGGGCCGUACCUGACGCUAAAGCGCGACAGCAUGGGGAGCAAACGGG